rnacentral:rRNA from 1 species
CGCUGGCGGCGUGCUUAACACAUGCAAGUCGAACGAGACGAUUUAGAAGCUUGCUUUUAUUGAGUCGAGUGGCGAACGGGUGAGUAACACGUGGGUUAUCUGCCUUCAAGUUGGGGAUAACAGUUAGAAAUGACUGCUAAUACCGAAUGUGCUAGUAAUAGUAAAGGAGCCCUUAAAGCUUCGCUUGAAGAUGAGCCUGCGGUGUAUUAGCUUGUUGGCGGGGUAACGGCCCACCAAGGCGACGAUCAGUAGCCGGUCUGAGAGGAUGAACGGCCACAUUGGAACUGAGACACGGUCCAGACUCCUACGGGAGGCAGCAGUGGGGAAUCUUCCGCAAUGGGCGCAAGCCUGACGGAGCAACGCCGCGUGAGUGAAGAAGGGUUUCGGCUCGUAAAGCUCUGUUGAAGGGGACGAACGGUAGGCAUAGGAAAUGAUGCUUAUUUGACGGUACCUUUCGAGGAAGCCACGGCUAACUACGUG